CAUCUGAUGGUGGUGGAAAGCUCCGGCGGUGCAGGAUGAGCCCGCGGCCUAUCAGCUAGUUGGUGAGGUAACGGCUCACCAAGGCGACGACGGGUAGCCGGCCUGAGAGGGCGACCGGCCACACUGGGACUGAGACACGGCCCAGACUCCUACGGGAGGCAGCAGUGGGGAAUAUUGCACAAUGGGCGAAAGCCUGAUGCAGCGACGCCGCGUGAGGGAUGACGGCCUUCGGGUUGUAAACCUCUUUCAGCAGGGAAGAAGCGAAAGUGACGGUACCUGCAGAAGAAGCGCCGGCUAACUACGUGCCAGCAGCCGCGGUAAUACGUAGGGCGCAAGCGUUGUCCGGAAUUAUUGGGCGUAAAGAGCUCGUAGGCGGCCUGUCACGUCGGAUGUGAAAGCCCGGGGCUUAACCCCGGGUCUGCAUUCGAUACGGGCAGGCUAGAGUUCGGUAGGGGAGAUCGGAAUUCCUGGUGUAGCGGUGAAAUGCGCAGAUAUCAGGAGGAACACCGGUGGCGAAGGCGGAUCUCUGGGCCGAUACUGACGCUGAGGAGCGAAAGCGUGGGGAGCGAACAGGAUUAGAUACCCUGGUAGUCCACGCCGUAAACGUUGGGAACUAGGUGUGGGCGACAUUCCACGUCGUCCGUGCCGCAGCUAACGC
rnacentral:rRNA from 1 species